UACGGAGGGUGCGAGCGUUGUCCGGAAUCACUGGGCGUAAAGGGCGCGUAGGUGGCGCGGGCAGUCAACGGUGAAAGUUCGGGGCUCAACCCUGAAUCGGCCGUCGAUACUCCCGUGCUUGAGCACUGUAGAGGCAGAUGGAAUUCCGGGUGUAGCGGUGGAAUGCGUAGAGAUCCGGAAGAACACCGGUGGCGAAGGCGGUCUGCUGGGCAGUUGCUGACACUGAGGCGCGACAGCGUGGGGAGCAAACAGGG
rnacentral:rRNA from 1 species